CCUCACUGGAUCCACACUCCAAAAGAAAGCUCUCUGGGAGCUGAAACAAUGUGUGGAACAUGUAUUCAACCAUGCUGGCAUCCCAAGACCUGAAAGAAAGAAAACCGAAGUGAAUGUGAAUGCUUUGGAGGAUCCUAACCAAGAGAACCUUGGCUAACUUCCUUCCUCAAAAUUGGGGCAGUGGAGCUAUGAGUGAACAUUUGUACUGGAACCCAAACUCCUAAGGCAUUGCACAACAGUGGUACAAAUAAAUGUUCUUUAUCACAGGAAGUCUAAGAGUUCAGUGUUUACACGGAACGUACAUGAACUUUGAUUGUUCCUAAAGCAAUUUACCUGUAAGGUAAUUUAUGCAGGCUUCUAACACCAAACAUUUAACACUUAACAGUGAGCAGUUUUCUACAAGUAAAUGGGAAAUAAUCACUUUUUAGGUUUUUAAAAGAAGUGACUUUGCUAUUCAAUUCUCCAAAGAAACCCAGCCAGCCACCACUUAUGUUUAGAGGACCAAAGGGACACCCAGCUGAGAUCUCUUCAUCUGAUAUUCAAUGAAUUGAGUUUAGCAUUUUUGCUGUACUGUGUUAACUUUGAGAAUGUCGAGUUUCAGCUUGUUCCCACCAUGGAUCACUGACAACUCAGUUUCAA